GAAAAAAGCGUAAAACACAGUCGCGUGAAACGAUACAAUACUACUCCGUGAGAGUCGCAGGUGCUCGGGGCGUUGGCAAUCACCGGAAGCGGCGGCGCGGAAGGAGGCUCCUGCGAGCCAGCUGCCGCGCCGAAACAGUCAGUCAAGACAGUUCAAGCUUGAGAGAGGCGACGAGAAAACGAGAAA
ensembl:ncRNA C34E11.17 ncRNA